UACGGAGGAGGCAAGCGUUAUCCGGAAUUAUUGGGCGUAAAGCGCGCGUAGGCGGCCUCAUAAGUCCGUUGUGAAAGUCAAAGGCUCAACCUUUGAAAGCCGAUGGAUACUGUGAGGCUAGAGUCCGGAAGAGGCGAGUGGAAUUCCUGGUGUAGCGGUGGAAUGCGCAGAUAUCAGGAGGAACACCAAUAGCGAAGGCAGCUCGCUGGGACGGUACUGACGCUAAGGCGCGAAAGCGUGGGGAGCGAACAGG
rnacentral:rRNA from 1 species